UACAAGAAUCGGGCGCGAGCCCGGCGUUGGGCACAUGCGGUGGGAAGCCCUCCCUAGCAGCGCCCCAAGUACAGCGGCAGGCGUCGCAGGCGACCCGAGCGCAGUAGCACACUCGCUCAGGGCUCCCUGUGGUGCCUAGCCCCUUAAACAACAUUGCCCCCUAUAGGGGCAACUGAC
rnacentral:misc_RNA from 1 species